rnacentral:rRNA from 1 species
UACGUAGGGGGCAAGCGUUGUCCGGAAUCACUGGGCGUAAAGCGCGCGCAGGCGGUCAUCUACGUCUGGGGUGAAAGCCCGGAGCUCAACUCCGGGAUUGCCUUGGAUACGGGAUGACUUGAGGAUCGGAGAGGCAAGGGGAAUUCCACGUGUAGCGGUGAAAUGCGUAGAGAUGUGGAGGAACACCUGUGGCGAAGGCAGCCUCCUGGGAUAACACUGACGCUCAUGCACGAAAGCGUGGGGAGCAAACAGG